CCUACGGGGGGCAGCAGUGGGGAAUAUUGGGCAAUGGGCGCAAGCCUUACCCAGCAAUACCGCGUGAGUGAAGAAGGUCUUCGGAUUGUAAAGCUCUUUGAUCAGGGACGAACAGAUGACGGUACCUGAAGAACAAGCCCCGGCUAACUACGUGCCAGCAGCCGCGGUAAUACGUAGGGGGCAAGCGUUAUCCGGAUUUACUGGGUGUAAAGGGGGCGCAGACGGCAGCGCAAGCCAGGAGUGAAAGCCCGGGGCCCAACCCCGGGACUGCUCUUGGAACUGCGCGGCUGGAGGGC
rnacentral:rRNA from 1 species